ACAAACCACAAACUUAGAACUCGCUCUCGCCUCCCUCGUUCCUUAUAAACACUCUAAGUACAUUACAACUAUUACUCCAUUACUGUUUGUGAGUAAGAGUACACUCUAUCCACAUCUGUGUAAUACCAAGACCCAGCAGCCAGAUGGAGGGAAGUCAGCGCUGGAAGACUCAUGAAAUCCCAGCAAUUUGAGAGUGCACCCCAAGGAAUCUCAUUAAAGCAGCUCCACACGUCAA